UACAGAGGGGGCAAGCGUUGUUCGGAAUUACUGGGCGUAAAGGGCGCGUAGGCGGCCGCCUAAGUCAGACGUGAAAUCCCUCGGCUCAACCGGGGAACUGCGUCUGAUACUGGGUGGCUUGAAUUCGGGAGAGGGAUGCGGAAUUCCAGGUGUAGCGGUGAAAUGCGUAGAUAUCUGGAGGAACACCGGUGGCGAAGGCGGCAUCCUGGACCGAGAUUGACGCUGAGGCACGAAAGCCAGGGGAGCAAACGGG
rnacentral:rRNA from 1 species